CAGCCCAGUCAAGCCUCGUCCUCCACAGCUGGGAUGGGAUUGCCCUCGUCAGGUGAGCUCCUUUUGGAUGCCCCGGCAGGAGCAGGAGCCAUAAUCAGCCCCCUCCCCCUUCCUGCAACCUUUGGCUGCAGUCGGCGGGCGGGCGGAACUGGCAGAGAGCUGGCGCAAAGGUCUAUUUGGGCUGCCUCAUCAGCAUCGGGGAACCAUGGCCCUGCGAGAUAACAAUUCAAGAUAAUCCAGCUAAGAAGACUUUAUGAAUAUUUCUCAGUAAACAAAAUAAACAAGAUGUUAUUUGA